UACGGGGAUGGCAAGCGUUAUCCGGAAUUAUUGGGCGUAAAGAGAUGCGUAGGCGUUUUAUUAAGUCUUGAGUUAAAUCCUACAGCUUAACUGUGGAACCGCUUGAGAAACUAAUAGAAUUGAGAAAAGCAGAGGAAGGUAGAAUUCUCCGAGGAGAGGUAAAAUUCGUUGAUACGGAGAGGAAUACCAGUAGCGUAGGCGACCUUCUGGGCUUUUUCUGACGCUAAGGCUCGAAAGCGUGGGGAGCAAA
rnacentral:rRNA from 1 species